GGCGCUUUGGCGGAGUGGUUAACGCGAUGGCCUGCUAAGCCAUUUCCUUCGGGAGCGCAAGUUCGAAUCUUGCAGGCGUCG
rnacentral:tRNA from 5 species